rfam:Talaromyces stipitatus ATCC 10500 scf_1105507295549 genomic scaffold, whole genome shotgun sequence.
GCGAAUGAUUAUACCUUUUUAACCCCAAGCUGUUGUUCUGCAAUGGCUAUGAAGAUUAAAAAUAGCAACAACAACACUCUAAUUUUUUGCUGACG